AUGAUUUUUGAAGAAGAAAGGCUAUUGUUGUUGUUGGAAAAUUGUGAAAAUUAGAUGUUUGAGGAGGAUUUAAUUAGUAGAAUUUUAUUAGCCUAGUUUUCUAAGUGUUGGAAUUUUGUGUUGAAUAUUUUGGUGAAUUGUUGUUGUGUAUUUUGGCCAAAAGAAAAAGAAAAGGAAGAAGAAAAGAAAUGGGUUGUUUUUGGAAGAAAAGGAAAAUAAAGAAAAUGGUAAAAAUUGGAUUAAAUGAGUUUUUACCUUGGUAAAGUGGUAAAAAGUGAAGAAGGUGAAAGUAAAGGUA
rnacentral:lncRNA from 1 species